rnacentral:lncRNA from 1 species
CCCAAACCUAACCUCCUGUAUUUCCAACUUACUUGCUCUGGUAUCCCACUCUGAGAAGUUUUUCAAUACGCUGGAAACUACAAUUCAUUGAUACCACAAUGUUUUAUCUGGCCAAUAUCUCCUUCAUGUCUUCAUUUCUCUUCUUACCCAGUAUAAGCUCCACAAACUAUCAUUAAAAUCAUGUGCUUGCAUAAUCCAUGUCUCUCUUGCCCCUCUGUCUCUCUCCCCGAAUUUCCAACAUUUCCAUCACUCUUCUCCCUUUCAAUGACGAGC